rnacentral:lncRNA from 1 species
UGGUAAUGGCAAACUUGUUGUGCUUCCCAGAAGAAUCCAAAAAAACAUUUGCCUUGACAACAUUCAGCCCAAGGUUCUUAAGUGCGUUCAUCUGCAGUUCAUUUACUAACUCUCAAAGAUGUACACAUCUUUGCAAAACAAUAAAUAUUGACAAUGCAGAACCAGAACUUAAUCUGGAAGAUCAAAGAUUCACUAUAUAUAGCGCAAAUGCAGAGGAUAGACAAAAAUGAAAUCAGCAAGUAAAUGGCCUCAUACAGUAUCAAGAAGAGCUCCAAGGCGAUCGCCAAAGGUUAUCUCCACUAUGGUUGCAUCCGGGUCAGAAUCUAGGUCUAUUAUGACUUUGGGAGUCGGAAUUGUAUCAGUGUCACCAUUACUUCCAUCCUGUUUACAAUUCCAUAACCACGUCCAACAACCAAAAAGAGAACGGAAACAUUAACUGCUUAAAUUGUACAAACACUAAUCAAUAGAGAAAAAUCAAUUCAUACCUCCACAGCUGUAGCUGAGGAGGCUCGAGGAAUUAUUCUAGUUGCUGAAGAUGAGAAUCUGAAAAAAGUACACGAGGAAAUAUACAUCCAAAAAUCAAACAAAUAUUGACAUAAUUAUGUGACUACGAGAGAAACAUGGUUAGUCUAUACAAACAUUUUUAGCACGAAAACAGGAAAAUAAGCAAAGAUUACAGCCUUUAUCACAGUUAAGUACUUGUCAAAGAUAUGCUGCACUAUCAAACACACUGCUGUACGGCCAAGGCGGAUGUACGGUACAGCAGUUUUUCAUCCACUAGUGAGAAGAGCCAAAAGUAUCAAUAAUCUGAAAAAAAUCAAGAUAGGACCAGAAAGCAAAGACCUGUUGUUUUGGAGGAUCAACGCCAAAGGCAACACCCAUUGCUAACUGGGAACUUGAUUCCUGAUUCCAACACCAACACAAAUGGAAUAAGCUUUUCAAUAAGACAAUUCCUACAGGUGCUCCACCAAGUGAUAUCUCAAGAGAGACAAAAAAAUGAUUACCGGGUGAUACUGAAGUAGAUUGUUUAUAACUGUCAAACGAAUUGCCUCAAGCACCUCAGGAUCAUCAACUUUCCUACCAGUAUCACUGCACACAAGCAUCAUGACCAAAUUAAUCAAAGCCACAGUGGGAAUCUAUUGCAAGAACUGCUCCAAAAAACACCAAUGGCUCUUUGGAUCAUUGAUUCUAGGUUCUAGUAUGUCUAAAAUUUUAACGAUUUCAACAUUAGUUAUAAACGUCUAUUAGCAACAGACUGAUCAUACUUGUAUAUGGAGAAUCUAAAGUAGGUAUUUACUAUGCUCAUCAAAUAUAGACCAGAAGAUGUUGACAACAAUUAAAGGAUAUUAGUGAAUGAAACUGCAAGCAGAUAAUAUAAAUCAGCUCAGUAAUGCAAGGGCAUGAAAAGCAAAAUGCAUAUGCAUCACAAAACAUACGCUUUGGUAAUGGCAAACUUGUUGUGCUUCCCAGAAGAAUCCAAAAAAACAUUUGCCUUGACAACAUUCAGCCCAAGGUUCUUAAGUGCGUUCAUCUGCAGUUCAUUUACUAACUCUCAAAGAUGUACACAUCUUUGCAAAACAAUAAAUAUUGACAAUGCAGAACCAGAACUUAAUCUGGAAGAUCAAAGAUUCACUAUAUAUAGCGCAAAUGCAGAGGAUAGACAAAAAUGAAAUCAGCAAGUAAAUGGCCUCAUACAGUAUCAAGAAGAGCUCCAAGGCGAUCGCCAAAG